GACGAACGCUGGCGGCGUGCUUAACACAUGCAAGUCGAACGGAAAGGCCCUGCUUUUGUGGGGUGCUCGAGUGGCGAACGGGUGAGUAACACGUGAGUAACCUGCCCUUGACUUUGGGAUAACUUCAGGAAACUGGGGCUAAUACCGGAUAGGAGCUCCUGCUGCAUGGUGGGGGUUGGAAAGUUUCGGCGGUUGGGGAUGGACUCGCGGCUUAUCAGCUUGUUGGUGGGGUAGUGGCUUACCAAGGCUUUGACGGGUAGCCGGCCUGAGAGGGUGACCGGCCACAUUGGGACUGAGAUACGGCCCAGACUCAUACGGGAGGCAGCAGUGGGGAAUAUUGCACAAUGGGCGGAAGCCGGAUGCAGCAACGCCGCGUGCGGGAUGACGGCCUUCGGGCUGUAAACGGCUUUCGCCUGUGACGAAGCGUGAGUGACGGUAAUGGGUAAAGAAGCACCGGCUAACUACGU
rnacentral:rRNA from 1 species